rnacentral:rRNA from 1 species
AUGUACUAGCUUGCUGAUUCCUCCUUCUUGUAGAACCGUAAUGCCAUUAAUUUGGUGUUGCGGGGAAACAGGACUGUUACUUUGAAAAAAUUAGAGUGUUUAAAGCAGGCUAGCGCCUGAAUACAUUAGCAUGGAAUAAUGAAAUAGGACGUUCGAACCUAUUUUGUUGGUUUCUAGGAUUGACGUAAUGAUUAAUAGGGAUAGUUGGGGGCAUUAGUAUUCAAUUGUCAGAGGUGAAAUUCUUGGAUUUAUUGAAGACUGACUACUGCGAAAGCAUUUGCCAAGGAUGUUUUCAUUAAUCAAGAACGAAAGUUAGGGGAUCGAAGACGAUCAGAUACCGUCGUAGUCUUAACCAUAAACUAUGCCGACUAGGGAUCGGGUGAUGUUAAUUUUUUAAUGACCCAUUCGGCGCCUUACG